rnacentral:rRNA from 1 species
CCUACGGGUGGCAGCAGUGAGGAAUAUUGGUCAAUGGACGGAAGUCUGAACCAGCCAUGCCGCGUGCAGGAAGACGGCGCUAUGAGUUGUAAACUGCUUUUGUACAGGGGUAAACCUGAAUACGUGUAUUCUGCUGAAAGUACUGUACGAAUAAGGAUCGGCUAACUCCGUGCCAGCAGCCGCGGUAAUACGGAGGAUCCAAGCGUUAUCCGGAUUUAUUGGGUUUAAAGGGUGCGUAGGCGGAUUCAUAAGUUAGAGGUGAAAUGUCCGGGCUUAACUCGGGAACUGCCUCUAAUACUGUUGCUCGAGAGAGUAGAUGCGGUAGGCGGAAUGUAUGGUGUAGCGGUGAAAUGCUUAGAGAUCAUACAGAACACCGAUUGCGAAGGCAGCUUACCAAUCUAUAUCUGACGUUGAGGCACGAAAGCGUGGGGAGCAAACAGGAUUAGAUACCCUAGUAGUC